UGGGGAAUAUUGCACAAUGGGGGGAAACCCUGAUGCAGCGACGCCGCGUGAGUGAAGAAGUAAUUCGUUAUGUAAAGCUCUAUCAGCAGGGAAGAAAAUGACGGUACCUGAGUAAGAAGCCCCGGCUAACUACGUGCC
rnacentral:rRNA from 1 species